rnacentral:antisense_RNA from 1 species
GGGGGAGAAUGGGCAUCCCACCCCAGCACUUUCUAGGAAGGAGGGCAGCAUUUUGAAGGGCUGGAAGUAGAGGAAGGAGGUUGCGGGUAGAAGACUCCAUACUUUCUGUGAUGCCUAUUCCUUAGCUUGAGAUGAAUGUUUUCUCAGUAUCCUAUGCUGAAAACAGGUAGAUACUAAUAUCGAUCUUCAAGGGAGGGCUGUUGAGUUUUGAAUAAGACAAAAACAUGGAAGCAAUCAGCACCAUGCUGGAAUCAAGGCUAUCUGUAAUCACAGGGCUAUUUGAAAAAGAGAAGAAAAGGUGUCUUGAAAUUCAACCAACAUGUUUCAAUUAUUUGCUCCUAAGAACAACAGAAGUUUCAACAUUCUGCCAACAAAGUAACUCCUGGAAGAUUGGCACAGAAGAAGGCACAAGGAAGUCAGUGAUAAAAAUAUUUAAGCAGCUUUGUCUGCCUUAGACCUUCCAACUAAAAGUACAGCAUGUGGAAUGGAAUGCUAAUAUGAGGAUCCAAAUUUUCAGGGAAGGAGGAGAGCCUUUAUAUAACCAAAGAUAUUUUUGGACCAUGAAUUCGGAAAUUCUCGGAGCCACCCAUCAGUGCCUGAGCUUCAGUGAGUCCAUAUCCCAUGUCACCCACGGCAAAGGAGAAUCUAAGACUUCUGAAGAGUUUCUUGCUUCUUUCCUGUGGGGCAGUGACUCCACUUCCCAGCAGUAAUGGAAUAUCCUGAAUUAGCUACA